rnacentral:rRNA from 1 species
AACGCGAAGAACCUUACCUGGGCUUGACAUGGACGGAAAACCGGCAGAGAUGUCGGGUCCUUCGGGGCCGUCCACAGGUGGUGCAUGGCUGUCGUCAGCUCGUGUCGUGAGAUGUUGGGUUAAGUCCCGCAACGAGCGCAACCCCCGUUCGAUGUUGCCAGCGGGUAAUGCCGGGGACUCAUCGAAGACUGCCGGGGUCAACUCGGAGGGAGGUGGGGACGACGUCAAGUCAUCAUGCCCCUUAUGCCCAGGGCUUCACGCAUGCUACAAUGGCCGGUACAGCGGGUUGCGAUACCGUAAGGUGGAGCGAAUCCCUAAAAGCCGGUCUCAGUUCGGAUCGGGGUCUGCAACUCGACCCCGUGAAGUCGGAGUCGCUAGUAAUCGCAGAUCAGCAACGCUGCGGUGAAUACGUUCCCGGG